rnacentral:rRNA from 1 species
AGAUCGCUUUCUUCGGAAAGCAUAUAUCUAGUGGCAGACGGCUGAGUAACGCGUAAGUAACUUACCCUUGAGUGGGGAAUAACACAGAGAAAUUUGUGCUAAUACCCCAUACGAUUUAUUGAUAAUUUCUAUAAAUGAAAGAUUUAUCGCUCUUGGAUGGGCUUGCGUCCUAUCAGGUUGUUGGCGGGGUAAUGGCCCACCAAGCCUAAGACGGGUAGCUGGUGUGAGAGCACGACCAGCCAGAGGGGGACUGAGACACGGCCCCCACUCCUACGGGAGGCAGCAGCUAAGAAUAUUGCACAAUGGACGAAAGUCUGAUGCAGCGACACCGCGUGAGGGAUGAAGGUUUUAGGAUCGUAAACCUCUUUUAUUAGGGAAUAGUAAGGAAGGUACCUAAUGAAUAAGGUACGGCUAACUACGUGCCAGCAGCCGCGGUAAUACGUAGGUACCGAACGUUGUCCGGAAUCACUGGGCGCAAAGGGUCCGUAGGCGGUUUGAUAAGUCUCACAUGAAAACUUCAAGCUUAACUUGGAGAGGUUGUGAGAUACUGUCAAACUAGAGACUGUUAGAGGUAAGUGAAAUUCCAGGUGUAGUGGUGAAAUGCGUAGAUAUCUGGAGGAACACCAGUGGCGAAAGCGACUUACUGGGACAGUUCUGACGCUAAGGGACGAAAGCGUGGGGAGCGAACCGGAUUAGAUACCCGGGUGGUCCACGCCGUAAACGAUGAUUGCUAGGUUUUCGGGGCAUCGACCCUUGUGAGCCGAAGUUAACGCGUUAAGCAAUCCGCCUGAGUAGUACGGCCGCAAGGC